UGAUGUCAAAAGGGGAUUUGACAACUUUAAAAAGUUUUGGAAAUUAUUACGAGCAAAAGAAAAGUUGUUAAAUGGGAACUUAAAAUAUUUUUGUUAACUUACAUAGUCAAAAUGAAAUUUAAAAUAAUUUGAGAAUGUUUAGCUACAACGUUAAGUUUAUCACUAGCGAAGAAACAUUGUAUCUAAAAAGCGGUGACUUUAAAAGUUAUAAGUAUGAAACAAAAAAACGCUUAGAUGAAACAGUAUACGAUGCAGGAAAACGGAACUAUUGCGAACGCCGCGGUGGUUAUUGGAGAAUACCAAAAUCUAGUCAACUACGGCAACUCGAAUCAACUUUAAGAGACCGCCAUGUAGUAGAAUGUAUAUGGGUGACUGACUUACUGGCUACAUUGGUAUUUUCUUCAGGUGUAAUAGCUUAUGCCUCUAUCAAACCUAAAACAUUAGAUGUAACACAAAUACUUUUUGAUAGGUACUGUAUUGGCAAAUUAUCAGGUCAAACUGUUACAGGAGUUGUUUUCACCAAGACCCACCUGCUAUUCACCCAUGCAGAGAGAACUGCAACUCUUUUCACAUUUGGAAAGACCAUUGAGAAUAGCAGUCACCCUUGUCGACUGUCUGAUAGAGAUCCACAUGUACAGGUGCUUGAGCUUGGUGGAGCUAGGCGAGCUGAGAGAAGACUUUCUUGGUGCUGUGAUGGCAGUGGGGUUAAAGUGCUACUGUGGAGUGCGGCCAGUGCUGAGCCAGCGCCAUGGAGCCCUGUACUGGAAGACCUAGCAAAUCUUCACUUAUAUCAGAUACAUGGGCAGCAAGUAAGUUUAAUUGCAUUUCACCAACUUGAAAAUGAAGUGCUAUGUGCUGAGUUAUCGCAAAAAAACGACAAUGUUGUACAUAUUGUUGAACAAACUGCUUGUCACAAGAAUGGUGUAACAGUGGAAUGGCAGCAGUUCGAUAUAUCCAACCCGGAGGAGAGGGUUGUUCACUUGAGUGCAUUGCGAGUGGGUGCAACGCGAGUGUCGUUGCCCGCCGUGGUGCGUGUCGCGCGCCGCUCGCACUGCGGGCACAGGCUACUUGCAACUUGUAUAGAUGGAUCUCUGCAUAUUAUACACCAAGCUACAGGAUUGACGCAUUCAGUACGCGCUGGUUUUAUACCAACAGACGUGCGCUGGGCGGGCGAGCUGGUGCUCGCAGUGGAGGAAGCGGGACGGCUUCAGUGCUUCGAUCGCGCCCUCUCGCUCUUACACCACCAUACUAAGUGCCUUGACUUAGUAUCACAUUUUAGAGAUACAAGACGAAUGCAAGUUCUUGCGACACGAGAUAUGAAAAGUGGUCCGAUAAUAUUGGCACUAUUUGCUGGCGGACCAUUGACACUGCUUCAUAUCACGCACCAAAGACUUUUAACGGCAUGGAUAAGAGCGGAUCGAACGUCAAACGCCGUGUCUCUCUUACGUGCGAUGGACUGGGAGGAAGAGGGGAUAGAAUGUCUACGAGCUCUCAGUGAACUUGUACACGGCGCGUUGCGAAACUCGCAACAAGACAAGACUAUGAACAAUGAGAACGCAGCCCAGGCAGCACUAGGUGCCUUCCUAGCACCCUCCGUGCCACUGGGAACUUCGGCCUUACGCUUUGCGCCACCUGUACAUGAUCUAGCAAGGAAGUUCUUCCAUCAUUUACUUAGACGUGGGCGUAUCGAGAAGGCGCUGAGCCUGGCGGUGGACCUGUCUGCGUGGGAUCUGUUCGCGGACGCGCGCUGGGCGGCGCGGCGAGCGGGACAGCCGCACCUCGCGCGUGAGGCCGCACGCGCCGCACAUCACUACGCACAUCUGCAUGCUGACGAUUCAGAAUGUUCGGAGUCUUGCUCGCAAUGCAGUUCGCGAACUUGCUCGGAAUCCGAAGAGGAGCUGACUGGUUACACCCGCAACGGCAAAACCACGCCCCCACCUCUACCGCGCCUCCCGCAGCCCCCGCAACCUACCAUAUUGCCUGUACCUAUAACACAAAACGAACCAACAUCCACACACAGCAUCAGACCCAAUCUACAUCAGUAUCUAGAAAGAGACAACACUAUAUGGAACACGGAGUUACGAGACGACACCUGCAUUGAUAGAAAAAUGUACGAAGAACAUUUCAAACCGAUCAGAAACCUACAAACUGUGAAAUGGCAAAGUGUAGACAACAUGUUAAUGAACUAUAGAAAACCUUUAAGCAAUGCUAACACUGAUGUACCAAGAUCUCAUUUAUUCGAUGUCAUACCUAGAGUACAAGAUGACAAAGUAUCACAUUUCAAACAUGUUUACCAAACAGAUUUGAGAGAAGCGAUACCAACUACUUAUAGAUAUCAGAGUAAUAUCAAUACCAAUGCCAACGGGAGACUGUAUAGACAUGACAGUACUUGGUCAGGUAAACCUCUCGAGAAGAAUAAAGUCAAAUUUUCCGAUACCGUGACAGUUGCAGUUGUGUCAGAGCCGCCAUCAUCACCCGACGCGGCACACGAAUUAGCGGACAGCCUACCUUUGUGCGCUCCCCACAAGUACCUAGCGAACUUCGCCCCCGCCCCAACAGUACCGAAGCCCCCGGCAAAGAUUCCUACAGCUAAUAAGUUAACAAUCAGCAAGGUGCCCACAAUCGCCAAGCCAAACGCCAAACCAAUCGCCAAGGUCGCCACAUCGCCAUCUCAAUCGCCAACCGGUACUACGCUCGACUACGUGGAAGUGUGACGCAUGCCGAGAUUAUGUCACUAAUGUGUGUUAACAUUUUGCACAAAUAUGCAUGCAUCACAAUUAACUAACAUAUGUUUGUGAUAACAGUGUGUCCCAAAUAAAGCCCUGAACUUUUAAACAAAAACUGAUGAACUGCUAUUACUGACUUGGGAGCAAUUUUUAUUUUCGUCGGAAAUGCAAUUUUAUAAUCCUGUUCCACAGCCGCCUAAAAUUAAAGUGGUACACUUUGGAAUGGUUUAAUGCAAUGUAUAAAAUAAAAAUAUAAGUAUCAGUCCGUCCAUUAGCUUAGUUUAAUAUUGCUAUUAAGACUACCUCAAAAUCAGAAUCUAAAUAAAUAUAGUAUAUUGAAAAACAUCUGCUUAAUAAGUGUUUAUUGCAGUUUUUUAUAUUUUUAUACACAACAUUAAAAAUAAAAUGAUGUGAUAACUUAUGUUGUGUUUUAAUUUUAAUAAUACAAUUUAUGUAAUUCUAGCUGUCUCCCACAAAUUAAAAGCAAAGUUAAUAAGUAGCCUUUGUGUUCUUCCAGACUAUGUUCUAGAUUUAUGCCAAAUUUCAGUCAGAUCUGUACAGCCAUUAUAUCUUCAAUCAUUCAUCCAUCUAACAUUCACAUUUAUUUUACAUAUUAGUAAGAUAUGCUUACUCAAACAUGGCUCCCAGUUUCGUAAAAAGCUACCAAUUAACUAUUGUACUUUUUCAAUGUAAGGACU